rfam:Homo sapiens chromosome 20, GRCh38 reference primary assembly.
GCCGGGCGCGGUGGCUCACGCCUGUAAUCCCAGCACUUUGGGAGGCCGAGGCGGGUGGAUCACCUGAGGUCAGGAGUUUGAGACUGGCCUGGCCAACAUGGUGAAACCCUGUCUCUA